rnacentral:lncRNA from 1 species
GGUCACUGGAGCAGCGAGGGGAGCGGAAGUGGGAGGGAAAGGCAGCACAAAAGAAAGGGAUGAACCCCCGUCCCCCUCCCCUGAAGGAGCCCCAAACAGAGCUGCGCCCAGAGGGAGGCAUGCAGAGGCGCUUUCAGAGGAAGUUCUUGCUGCUGCAGCGGGACAGAAGCAGCUGGGAUGGCUGACCAUCCUGAUAGGCCUUGGAGGAAGGGAAGUAUCACCGGCCUGAACUACUACUCCCCAUCCCCUGCAACUGCCAUUCUUUCUGACUUGUCUCUAGAAAAGGCCAUGUGACCUCUCCCUCAGGCUGACGCAUUGUCCCAGCCAGAAUGUCCAGCCAAAGCAGAAUAAAGCAUCUACUGGACCUAAAAGAGUGCCCCUGAUAUCUCCCAACUGGGUUCUGAAAGGAUUCCCUGAGGGGAUUUUAUCAUAGACACAUUUAAAAUGCCAAGAAUGAAUCAAUGUGUCACCAAAUUUCAGUGUCAGUGCUAGAGGCAGAUUUAUGGCUCAAAUGAAGUCGGUUUAAAAAAAAAGAAGAAGAAAUUUCACUUUAUUCUCUAGCUGUGAAAAUAUUCUCUGAGGAGUCUCCUGUCAGAACACCUAUAU